UACAGAGGUGGCAAGCGUUGCUCGGAAUCACUGGGCUUAAAGGGCAUGUAGGCGGGCGAGCAAGGUCGCGGUGAAAGCCCGGGGCUCAACCCCGGGUCGGCCGUGGCAACUACUCGGCUCGAGCACUGUAGAGGCAGGCGGAAUUCCGGGUGUAGCGGUGGAAUGCGUAGAGAUCCGGAAGAACACCGGUGGCGAAGGCGGCCUGCUGGGCAGUUUGGCUGACACUGAGGCGCGACAGCGUGGGGAGCAAACAGG
rnacentral:rRNA from 1 species